UCAAAAAACAACAAUAAAAAAAAAAAAAAAAAAAAAAAAAACAGAUUUAAAGCAGUUUCAUCACUCCCAAAAUUUCCCCAUUCCUCGUCAACAACUUCUACCCCUACUCCCAAACCUUGGCAACCACUGAUUUGUUUUUUGUACCUAUAGUUUUGCCAGAAUAUCAUACAAAUGAAAUCAAGCAGCAUGUAGCCUUCUUAGUAUGGUUUCUUUCACUUGUUGUAAAAUAAUAAAGAAUUUAUUUAUGUUGUUAUACAUUUUAAUAGUUCAUUGCUUUCUCUUUCUAAAUAGUCUUCUAUUGAAUGGAUGUUCUAUGUUUGUUUAUCCAUUUGGCAGUUGAAGAAUAUUUGUGUUGUUGCCAGUUUGGGUGGUUAUAAACCCACUCUGAACAUUCAUAUUCAAGUUUUUGUAUGAGUAUUUAAGUUUUCAUUUCUUUUAUGUAAAAUCCUAGGAAUGGGAUCGUGGGGUCUACAAGAUAAGUUUAUUUUAACUUUACAAUAAACCACCAAAUUUUUCCAAAGUGAAAUAGCAUCUUGUACUCCCAUUGACAAUGUAUGAGAGUCCUUACUGUUCCACAUCUUCGUUAGUACUUAAUAUUGUCAGGUUUUGUUUUGCUUUUAGACAUCUUAAUAGAUGUCUGGUAUUAACUCAUUUGUACUUUCUUAAUGACUAAUAAUGUUGAACAUAUAUUCAUAUGCUUAUUUACCAUCCAUACGUCCUCUUUUAUAAAAUAUCUAUUCAACUCUUUUGAUCAUUUUCAAUUGUAUUUUUUUUAAUUAUUGAGUUUUGAGAGUUUUGAUAUGUCAUAGAUAUGAGUCCUUUGUCAAAAAUGUGUUUUGUAAAUAUUUUCUGCCAGGCUGUAGCUUGUAUUUUCAAUCUCUUAACAGUAUCUUUCACAGAACAGAAGUUUUUAAUUUUGCUGAAGUCCAACUUACUGAUUUUUAUUUAUGCUUUUAAUGUCAUGUCUAAGAAAUCUUUGCCUAAUAUAAGGUCACAACUAUUUUACCCAGUGUUUUCUUGUGGAAAUUUAAUAUGUUUGUGUUUUAUAUUUAGGUCGACGAUCCAUUUUUAGUUCUUUUUUUUAGGAAGUACAUGGUAUGAGUCAAAAUUUACUUUGCAUAUCAAUGUCCAAUCGUUUUACAUAGGUAUUGAAAAGACGAUACUAUACUGUCUUUAUUAAAUUGCCUUUACCCAUAUAUGUAUAAGCCUAUUUCUGGAUUAUCUGUUCUGCCCCAUUUAUCUAAAUGUCUGUCCUUUCAGUAAUGUGACACUGUCUUGAUUACCUAGGUAAGUCUUAGAAUGCAAUAGUUUGAGUUCUUUAACGUUGCUCUUUGUCAGGAUUGCUUUGGCUAUUCUAGUGCCUCUGACUUUCCAUAAAAAUUUUACAGUUUAUCGAUAUUUAUUUUAAAAAUCCUAAAGGGGUUUUAGUUUGGAUUUGUGGAAUCAUCUGUGUCGGUUUGUGGACAAUUGAUGUCUCGACACUAUUUAGUCUUUGUAUUAAUAAACACAGUAUAAGUCUCUAUUUAGGUCUCCUUUGGUUUUUUCAAGAGUGAUUUGUAGUUUUCAGCAUAUGAGUGGUUCACCUUUAUAAUAUCUAAGAAUUUCAUGUUUGUGGUGUUAUUAUAAAUGAUACAGUUUUUUAUUUGUCUUCGGUUGCCCAUUGCUAGUAUAUAAUUUUUUGUAUACUGUCUUUGUAUCCUUCAGUCUUUCUAAAACUCACUCAUGAGUUCUAGUAGCUUUGUAGUAGUUUCCUGGAGAUUUUAUGUCUAAAGUGUUAAUGAAAGAUUACAUUUUAAACCAAGAAUACAAAUUCUAUUACAUAUUUUAAAAUCAGGCUUGCAAGGACCAAGAUUGUGUCUCUGAUUAUGCAGUUGUAUUUAUAGGAUGAUAUAGGUGGCUUAGUGGGCCAAGUUUUGAAUCUCAAACAUGUGGGUGGUGAAUCCUUAUCUACUUGCUGCUGCAUAUGAUCUGAGAUGCCUUGACUACGUUAUGGGCUUUUCCAUCCAAGUCUAUGCUUUAACAACAGAAAAACUCUUUCAGAUAUAUCAUAGGGAUGUGCCAGUACAAUUAAUGUGAAAUCAUUUAGAGAUAUAAAGUUCAGAAUAAUAAUAUUCGUGUCAUCCAGAAAAACCAGGAAGUCUUCUCUUGUAGAGCACAUGACCUGCUAUGAUAUAGCCUGUAGUAGGAUUCGUAUAUACAUACCCCCAAAGGCAUUACCAUAUCACUGUGGAAUAGGGUUGCAAUGCUAGAUACCGCAGCACUCCUGAUAAGGGCCUGGCUUGUGUAAAAAUGGUUAGAGAGGCAGGAGGUUGUUAUAACUGGAAUAAUUCUUACAGCAGCUAUGUCUCCAAAAAUAUUAUGAAGCAAGAAAAACAUUUGGCUGGAGGUGUGCGAGCUGAGAUUCUCAGGGCGUAGGAGCUGUGGGUGGAACAGAGGCCAAAGGAGUAGUCAUACCCGGGGUGGUUCAAAGGAAGAAGCAGAGGAGGUAGACAGAUGGAGGUGGCUUGGCUACAAAGAAGCGUGGAGUUUCUUUCCUUUCCUCUUGAGAUCCACC